rnacentral:tRNA from 1 species
GUGGGUAUAGCUCAGUGGUAGAGUACCUGCUUGCCAUGUACGAGGUCUGGGGUUCAAUCCCCAGUCCCUCCA